rnacentral:misc_RNA from 1 species
GAUGAAGAACGUAGCGAAAUGCGAUACUUGGUGUGAAUUACAGAAUCCCGUGAACCAUCGAGUCUUUGAACGCAAGUUGCGCCCGAAGCCACUAGGCCGAGGGCACGCCUGCCUGGGCGUCACAAGCCGUUGCCCCCCCAUCUACUCCUUCGGGAUUGCGGGGGGGCGGAUGAUGGCCUCCCGUGCGCCUAGCCGCGCGGUUGGCAUAAAUACCAAGUCCUCGGCGACGCACGCCACGACAAUCGGUGGUUGCGAAACCUCGGUUGCCCGUCGUGUGCGUUCGUCGCGCAUCGAGGGCUCGAAAAAAUGCUCGGCUCCGGCUGGGCUUUCAACGCGACCCCAGGUCAGGCGGGGUUACCCGCUGAAUUUAAGCAUAUCAAUAAGCGGAGGA